GUACACGCUGUGACUAGCAUAUCAAUAAGCGGAGGAAAAGAAACUAACAAGGAUUCCCCUAGUAACGGCGAGUGAAGCGGGAAGAGCUCAAAUUUGAAAUCUUAAAGGGUUUCCCUUUACGAAUUGUAGUUUAAAGAAGUGUUUUCUGUUGAGGUUUUGGUAAAAGUUCUUUGGAAUAGGACAUCAUAGAGGGUGAGAAUCCCGUAUUUGACCUUUACUUUCAACUUUGUGAUACACUUUCAAAGAGUCGGAUUGUUUGGGAAUGCAGUCCAAAAUGGGUGGUAAAUUUCAUCUAAAGCUAAAUAUUGGCGAGAGACCGAUAGCGAACAAGUACCGUGAGGGAAAGAUGAAAAGAACUUUGAAAAGAGAGUUAAACAGUACGUGAAAUUGUCAAAAGGGAAGCGUUUGACACCAGUGUUGUUUUUCUGAAAAUCAAUUAAAGAACUGUUUAUGCUAAGCUGUUUAGACUUUAUCAGCUAACUGUUUAGUUUUGAGCUUUUCUUUAAUGCACUUUUCAGUUAACAAGUCAACAUCAAUUUCUUUUGCUGUAAAAAAGCUUGAGGAAGGUGGCUUGAGAUUCGUCUUAAGUGUUUAUAGCCUCUUGCCUAUGCAGUCGGAGAGAUUGAGGUCUGCAGGCGUAGAUCCUUCGGGGCUAAAUGCAUUUGUGCUAAGUUAUAGCAUUUUAUAGACAACUUGUUGACUAUGAUUUGUCUUGUAGCUUACUCGCUUAUGUUAUUUUACCUACGCUUAGGAUGUUGAGUCGUAGAGCACGCA
rnacentral:rRNA from 1 species